rnacentral:misc_RNA from 1 species
GAUGAAGAACGCAGCGAAAUGCGAUAAGUAAUGUGAAUUGCAGAAUUCAGUGAAUCAUCGAAUCUUUGAACGCAUCUUGCGCUCCUUGGUAUUCUGAGGAGCAUGCCUGUUUGAGUGUCAUUAAAUUCUCAACUACACUGACUUUGAAUUGGUGUGGCUUGGAUUUGGGGGGAAAAUUGUUGUGGGCUUUUUGUAUAGUCUGCUCCCCUGAAAUUGAUUAGCGGUACCUUUGUGGAACUGUCUACAGGUGUGAUAAUUAUCUACAUCUUAGACAUCUGCUGGAAUGCUGCUUUCUAAACCUUACUUGUAUUGACAAUCUUGACCUCAAAUCAGGUAGUACUACCCGCUGAACUUAAGCAUAUCAAUAAGCGGAGGA